UACGUAGGGGGCAAGCGUUGUCCGGAAUCAUUGGGCGUAAAGAGCGCGUAGGCGGCCCGAUAAGUCCGCUGUGAAAGUCAAGGGCUUAACCCUUGAAUGCCGGUGGAAACUGUCGGGCUAGAGUCCGGAAGAGGCGAGUGGAAGUUCCUGGUGUAGCGGUGAAUGCGCAGAUAUCAGGAGGAACACCGAUGGCGAAGGCAGCUCGCUGGGACGGUACUGACGCUGAGGCGCGAAGCGUGGGGAGCAACAGG
rnacentral:rRNA from 1 species